GACGAACGCUGGCGGCGUGCUUAACACAUGCAAGUCGAACGGAAAGGCCCUGCUUUUGUGGGGUGCUCGAGUGGCGAACGGGGGAGUAACACGUGAGUAACCUGCUCUUGACUUUGGGAUAACUUCAGGAAACUGGGGCUAAUACCGGAUAGGAGCUCCUGCUGCAUGGUGGGGGGUGGAAAGUCUCGGCGGUCGGGGAUGGAUUCGCGGGUUAUGAGCUAGUUGGUGGGGUAGUGGCUUCCCAAGUGUUUGACGGGUAGCCGGCAUGAGAGGGUGGCCGGGCACAUUAGGCCUGAGAGAGGGCGCAGUCGGGUACGGUAGGCAGCAGGGGGAAGUCUGACACAAUGGGCGGGAGCCUGAUGAGGAGGCGCUGGGUGCGGGAUGACGGCCUUCGGGGUAAGAACCGCUGUCGCCUGUGACGAAGCGUGAGUGACGGUAAUGAGUAAAGAAGCACCGGCUAACUUCGUG
rnacentral:rRNA from 1 species